rnacentral:rRNA from 1 species
AAAGCGCACGUAGGUGGUUUGUUAAGCCAGCUGUGAAAUCCCCGGGCUCAACCUGGGCACUGCAGUUGGAACUGGCAAGCUAGAGUAGGGUAGAGGGGUGUGGAAUUCCAGGUGUAGCGGUGAAAUGCGUAGAUAUCUGGAGGAACAUCAGUGGCGAAGGCGACACCCUGGACUCAUACUGACACUGAGGUGCGAAAGCGUGGGGAGCAAACAGGAUUAGAUACCCGUGU